CCUACGGGGGGCAGCAGUGAGGAAUAUUGGUCAAUGGACGAGAGUCUGAACCAGCCAAGUAGCGUGAAGGAUGACUGCCCUAUGGGUUGUAAACUUCUUUUAUAUGGGAAUAAAAUGUUCCACGUGUGGGAUUUUGUAUGUACCAUAUGAAUAAGGAUCGGCUAACUCCGUGCCAGCAGCCGCGGUAAUACGGAGGAUCCGAGCGUUAUCCGGAUUUAUUGGGUUUAAAGGGAGCGUAGGUGGAUUGUUAAGUCAGUUGUGAAAGUUUGCGGCUCAACCGUAAAAUUGCAGUUGAAACUGGCAGUCGUGAGUACAGUAGAGGUGGGCGGAAUUCGUGGUGUAGCGGUGAAAUGCGUAGAUAUCACGAAGAACUCCGAUUGCGAAGGCAGCUCACUGGACUGCAACUGACACUGAGGCUCGAAAGUGUGGGUAUCAAACAGGAUUAGAUACCCCAGUAGUC
rnacentral:rRNA from 1 species